CGCACAGUCCUCAUGCCAGCCUUUGCUGUGACUGGCAGCGGCCCGGCCCCAAUCAGCGCUCAGCGCUCCCCGGGUGCAGCCAAUAGAUGCCUCCAGAAAGGGAGUAACAGGGGCUGGACCAGACUUGAAUUGAACCCCCUUUCCUCCUCCCUUAACACUUCCCCCCGCCCUAUGGGAGCCGUGUGUGGUACUGUAGAUAUGUGCGCUGGGUAUUGCAUAACCAGCUGGGGGAGAGAGGAGGGGGGCUGCUGACAUUUACGUAAUUAUCCAGCGGCGAGCCAGAGGCCAGAGUUAAGGUGGAGACUUUCCUUGCGUCUUUUGAUUAGUGACUCUGCCAGCAGCACUGUAGUGACCCCGGAGCUUGCACAGAGCUCGCGUGUAAACAGCUGUUGUUGUGGCGCAGGCGUGAAGGACCGCGGAGAAGAGACGGAAGAUGCCCCGCUGGCUGGCUGCACUGGGCUGCGCAGAUAAACACGCCGCCUGCUUCUCCUACCCCGGGAGAAGCGGGGAAGGGCGCUAGGAGCUUCACACGCGCGCGCUGGGGAAAGGGAGCCCCGGGUACCUCCCCCGCGACUGGAGCCCUUGCGGGGGCAGCGCUAUGAAAAACGUGGAAGCCUUGAUGCUUCAAGAUGCACCAAGUUUGGAUUAAACAUCACAGUAAAUUCUUUGGGGGCAGCCCGGACUGAUAUUCUGAGAUGGAUCCACUAGUUAAGACCCACCAAAUCGAUUGCAGAUCGUUCUCCUAUAGACACUGUUUGUUCUACCCCGAGAAGAAACAUAAGGGAAGUCGAUGGGAAAGUUUAUCGUCAGCUUCCUGCAGUAUAGAGCCCAUGGUAACUCAGCUUAAGGUACCUUGACUCCAGCUAUGUUAUUCAUGUACCUGGAUAUGCAUAGAUUAAAUUGACUUUCUAUUGU